GUAUAGCCCUCAGCGCAUGCGCACGAGUGGGACUUGGGGCCUCGCUCACACGGACUGUAGCGGCACUGUCCUCUCCUCUGUUUGCAAAGUUGCGAGUCUAGAACAGAAGAUGCUUUAUUUCAGAGCAAGUAGAGUGCUGCUUGAUGGACCAGUACGAUAACGUACAUGAAAGUACUCCGGAAACUGCGAGCCUACGUGUGGACAGGGAGGAAGGUGGUGGUGAUGGCCAGCCGCCACAACUCAUAAAUAAGAACAGUUGACUGAAAUAAUGAAGACUGAAGAGCGGCUCCUCCCAGCAGCUCUUCUGCCUUCACUGGUCAUCAGCGCGCUCGAUGUCUAAGAGAAUGAACUCAAACCUGUUCCCAUAUCUUCGUGUCAAUACCAGCCCUCUGCACAGAGGGGCAUGGUCCAUGCUUGGUUUCACACUGAAGCUGUGAAAGUCCAGAGACACCAGCAGAGACAUGGAAAGGGCCCUGACUGAGAGACAAGUGACUUUGUGUAAUG